AGCGAACGCUGGCGGCGUGCCUCAUACAUGCAAGUCGCGCGAGAAACCUCCUUCGGGAGGGAGUAAAGCGGCGCACGGGUGAGUAACACGUAGGUAACGUGCCCUUGAGUCUGGGAUAACUCGGGGAAACUCGGGCUAAUACCGGAUGCGACCGUGGGAUCCUCGGAUCCUGCGGGGAAAGGUGGCCUCUGCUUGCAAGCUACCGCUCAUGGAUCGGCCUGCGUCCCAUUAGCUAGUUGGUGAGGUAACGGCUCACCAAGGCGGAGAU
rnacentral:rRNA from 1 species